rnacentral:pre_miRNA from 1 species
AGAGGGAUAGCUGGAUCAAAUGGUGGUUCUAUUCCCAAUUUUCCAAGAAAUAUCCAUACUGCUUUUCAUAUUGGCUACACCAAUUUGCAGUCCCAUCAGCAAU